CCCAAAGUGCUGGGAUUACCGGCGUGAGCCACCGUGCCCAGCCCCACUUGAACUUUAAUCCUUGCCUCGGAAUUGGCUUCUGGGGAAACCAAAAAUAUAUUAAAAAAAGAGAGACCAGGACCUUAAAAAGAGCCCAAGUUGUUGAGCUCCCUGCCAAGUCACCCCCAGGUAUCUCUGCCCACCAGCUUGCAUGAGCCAGAUCCUCAGUGCAGGUUUUUCCAAUCAGUCAUUUGUUCUUCCACCCAACGCUCAAGAUUUGCUUCUUCAAGACAACUCUCUGAUCAGCUGAGACCCAUAGACACCCAGCUUCUACCACACAUAUGAUGGCAUUAUCCUAGGGCAUGGCAGAGCAACGCAAGGGAAAACUCUGGGCCCCCAAGUGAUGUCAUGGAGGAGAACUCUCAACCCAGAACUACUACGUGAGAAACAACGCUCUCUCUUCUUUAAGCCAUAGGUGUGUUGGGAAUCUUUGUUACAGCAGCACGCCUGAUCUUUUGUUUUGUUUUGUUUUGUUUUAGAGAUGGAGUCUUGCUCUUUCGCCAGGCUGGAGUGCAGUGGUGCGAUCUUGGCUCACCAUGUUGGUCAGGCUGGUUUCAAAUCCCUGACCUCAAGUGAUCCUCCCACCUUGGCCUCCCAAAGUGCUGGGAUUACAGGUGUGAGCCACCGCACCCGGCCCAGCCAUGCCUUGUCUUAACUAGCAUAGCCGCCCAACGUCCACUUCUUUUGGCCAUGUUGUCCUGAUUCUGCUGGAGAAUCCCUUUCCCACUGCUCCCAGACCAGUGGUGUAGCUGACCUGCGCUCUCUCCACUCAAUUCAGGGGAGGGAGGGGUUUAGGCCUGGGCUAAGAGAGCUGCACAUUUCCCAGGGCACAGUGAUUAGUUGAGGGUGGGUCCCAGAGCCAAAUCUGCCCAAGAUCUUAGCCUGAAAGAGAAACCCUCCUGCUGAGUGACUGCACUGUGAGGCAGAAGUCCAGAGCUGUGGGUGGCCAUCCAGCCUCCAUUUGCGCCUGCCUGAGAAAGAAGCCACCAUGGGGGAAAUCGAGCUAAAAGACGGAGAGGGAGGUAAGAGAGGAUGACAUCACAUAAGCACCAGAUCUGGCCACCCCUGAAACUGGAACAACCCUAAGCUUUACAGCUACUACAUUCCCUUUUCUGCUGAAGUUGUUUUACACUGGGUUUCUGUCUCUUGCAACCAAGAGCUCUGUUAAAUAAAAACCUGACCCUAAGGAGAACGUUAGCUGGUUCACAAUUCCCUGUGCAAAACAGGCACAGGUCAGCUGCCCCAGCCUGUCGUUUGGAUAUUCCUUUCUAAGAACGCUCACUUUUGUUGUCUACAUGACCCAGAUAACCAAGGAGAAAGCAAAUCAACCGCCUUCCAGCGGCGCCUUCCUUGGCAGCAAGUGCUAAGAGAGAACACAAUGUGAGUACUCUGCCCUCUGGAGUCAGGGUUGAUCCUCAGCACUUGCUGUCCUGGGAGGCUGCACCUGUGACACUUGAGUGCCAGGUUCAACCCCUACUGCUGCUGCUGCUGCCUGAAUGGGGCCAUUUAGACUGUUGAGUGCUACAGCCUCAGCCCAGGAACCCGGAGCUUCACAUGAGGCAGAGCAGGGCCCCAGGGUCCCUGAAACUUGCCAGUUCAAACAGCAGAGGGGUGAGGACUCCCCAGUCAGCCCUGGUCUCAUACCUGCCUCUGCAUGGUCCCAGUCCAGCCUGAGGCCUUUGCUUUCUUUUUUGAAGGGAAGGUGAGGAGAGAGGGGGAAAAUAGAGGUGUUCUGACUAGACUUAGGAUUCCUGGCCUCUGCCUCUGACCGCCAGAGGACAGCCUCUGCAGUUGCCUCAUCUACUCAUGAAAACAGGCCUGUGACCCCAGGGGUGCUCUGAGGAUUCUUCCAGAAAACAUCUGCCCAGCUAGGACUACCUAGCUCACUGCCCAAAAAGGGUUCAUUUCCUUUCCUUCUGAAACAAAAGCGCUUAAUUGGAAGAGAAGCAUUGACUCAAGCUAUAGGAUAUGCCACUUAAAAUGUCCAGAUCUUGGCACAAGGCCUGGCGCACAGUGUGGGAGAGAAGGAGAGAAGAAGGUGGAAGGAAAGGAGGGAGGGGAAAGAGGAAGCAGGGAGGGAGAAAAUAAGACAAGGGCCUCCUCAUCUGGAUGCUUCCCUAGACCAAGAAGUGGCCCAGGUGGUGCCCAGGGGACAGGGAGUGGGCAAUAAAAGACAAUGGGGUGUAGGUGAUAGGGUGUAGAUGAUCAGGGUAUAGGUGAUCAGGAUGUAGGUGAUGGGGUGUAGAUGACUGGGGUAUAGAUGAUUGAAGUGUAGGUGAUGGGGUAUAGAUGAUCGAGGUGUAGGUGAUGGGGUAUAGAUGAUUGAGGUGUAGGUGAUGGGGUGUAGGUGAUGGGGGUCAAGGUGAUCAAGGUGUAGGUGAUGGGGUGUUGGUGAUUGGGGUGUAGGUGAUCAGGGUGUAAGUGAUGGGGUAUAGGUGGUGGGGUGUAGAUGAUCGGGGUGUAGGUGAUGGGGUGUUGGUGAUUGGGGUGUAGGUGAUCAGGGUGUAGGUGAUUGGGGUGUAGGUGAUCGGGGUGUAGGUGACCAGGGUAUAGGUGAUCAGGGUGUAGGUGAUGGGAUGUAGGUGAUCAGGGUCAAGGUGAUUGAGGUGUAGGUGAUGGGAUGUUGGCAACCAGGGUGUAGGUGAUCAGGAUGUAGGUGAUGGGGUGUAGACGAUCAGGGUGUAGGUGAUGGGCUGUUGCUGACCAGGGUGUAGGUGAUCAGGGUGUAGGUGAUCCGAACUUCCUACUCAAUUCAGGCAACAGCUCCCAGCCUGAGGCAAAUACCCCCCGAGGCAGUCAGGGUCUCACCUCCCAUGGCUCUGACGCAGGCCUCCAAGGUGAGGAGAUGGAGGUAGCAGAGGUCACUUCACUCAGCUGUCACACACCCUGAGGGAACUCCUGUCACUGUUAUCCCACCUGCAAGUGAGGAGCCAGCAUUUCUCAUGCUCCAGGGUUGGCCACAGAGCCCAUUCAAGGGAGGGAGAAGAGCCUUCGGCCAGCGCAUCCUAACCGCAGAAAGCCAAGACCUCUGCAGAAAAAGAGACCAGGCCCAUAAAAAGAGAUCCAUGAGUUGAGUUCCCUGCCAUGCCACCCCCAGGCAUCUCUGCCCACCAGCCUGCAUGAGCCAGCCCCUCAGUGCAGGUUUUUCCAAUUGGCCGUUUGUUCUUCCACCCAACACUCAAGAUUUGCUUCUCAGCCUGGACAACAUAGCAAAACCCCAUCUCUACAAAAAAUACAAAAAUUAGCUGGGCAUAGUGGCACACACCUAUAGUCCCAGCUACUCGGGAGGCUGAAGUGGGAAGAUUACCUGAGCCUGGGAGGUCAAGGUUGCAGUGAGCCAUGAUCAUGCCACUGUACUCCAGCCUGGGUGACAGAGUGAGAACUUGUCUCAAAAACAAAAAAAGAGAGGAAGAUCUGCUUCUUCAAACCCACACAACUAAUAUAAAGUAAUCAACCUCCCCACCUCAAUAACCUGAAGUUAAACAUCACACAAUAAGCCCUGAACAGAGAGCUGUAGGUCAAUGUUCCAUUUUGCUUUUAAAAGCUUCACAAGAACAUUUCAUUUAUUAAAAUAGUUUCUGUAAACUCUUUCAGAAUAACAAAAUUCACUUGCCUUGCUUAAACAGCAUUUCAAGUAGAAGUAUUUUUAUUUCAAGGCACCAUAAAAUGAUGAUCUCUCUAAGAAAUACCUCUCCUUC
rnacentral:lncRNA from 10 species